GAAAGCCUGAGGGAGAUUGAAUGACCCGCCCUAGAGAAUAUCAGAGCACUUUGCUGGACGUCUGAGGGCUUAAAAGGAUGCUGUCUUUACCAUCUCGGCUCCUGCCGAGAACGGGAUCGAGUACACACGUGUUUCAUGGUAACCCUCCUGACCUGUGCUUCAUGUGCCAGAAGAUUGUUGCACAGCCGAAUCCUGUGGCCACACUGAGAUGCGAGUGUGGUUCUGGAAGAGAAGACAGGAAGUCACAGGUGCAGCGUCCAUCCUGCCAGGUGAUCAGCUGACUGGUGUCUCUGGCCGUGAAGAAGUCUCUGUCGGACCAAUCACAACCUACAGCCGCAGACAGACGUGACGAAAAAGACGGCAGAUGUUAACUUCAGAAUUUGCCAACACAUAAGUAAUAUCUCACUUAAUGGUCUGGUUUGAGUUUUUGUUUAGUUACAAAAAAAUCCCAGCAGCCUGCAAUUUUUUUAUGAUUACAAACCUAUAUGCCAAUCAAGUGUUGGGUGCAACCAGUCGUCGUUUAAAAUGGGAAAAUCUCCUGAUUAUAUGCCUCAAUAUACAUUAACCUCAUCAAUCUAUUUUUAAAAAGGUGGUGAAAAUGGUGCAUUAAGUUGCUGCUGAAGCAAACCAAACAUUUCCUACUGCCGCAAACUUCACAUUAAAAACAUUUAAUUGGCGAAACAAAA